UGAACCAACGUAGUUUCAGUUUGGUGAAAAAGAGAAGGAUUUUAUCGAAUAUUUGUAGUUUGACUCAAUUUCAAAGAAGUUUCGAUUAUGUGAUUUCCAAAGAAGGUGAAUGGAAUAGGGACACAACCGAUCCAAUCAAUUUUCCCCGAAUUCUGUAAAAACAGCAGUAUUCAUGGCAUUCGAUAUUUUACCGAACGAAAACGCGAUUGG